AUUGAACGCUGGCGGCAGGCCUAACACAUGCAAGUCGAACGGUAACAGGAAGAAGCUUGCUUCUUUGCUGACGAGUGGCGGACGGGUGAGUAAUGUCUGGGAAACUGCCUGAUGGAGGGGGAUAACUACUGGAAACGGUAGCUAAUACCGCAUAACGUCGCAAGACCAAAGAGGGGGACCUUCGGGCCUCUUGCCAUCGGAUGUGCCCAGAUGGGAUUAGCUAGUAGGUGGGGUAACGGCUCACCUAGGCGACGAUCCCUAGCUGGUCUGAGAGGAUGACCAGCCACACUGGAACUGAGACACGGUCCAGACUCCUACGGGAGGCAGCAGUGGGGAAUAUUGCACAAUGGGCGCAAGCCUGAUGCAGCCAUGCCGCGUGUAUGAAGAAGGCCUUCGGGUUGUAAAGUACUUUCAGCGGGGAGGAAGGGAGUAAAGUUAAUACCUUUGCUCAUUGACGUUACCCGCAGAAGAAGCACCGGCUAACUUCGUG
rnacentral:rRNA from 1 species